GCUGUGAGAGAUGUAUAUUCUAUUUCAGCCCUUCCAGCCGUCUCUCUUCUUCCCACCCUCUAGGUUUUUUUUUUUCUUUUCUAUGAAAACUGAUCUGCAUGGUUAUUAAUAGUAAAACCUAGGAAAAUUUUCAGCUUUGGUCCCUGAAGUUUGGAGAAGCAUUUAAAAUGACCCCAAUACUUAAAAUGGCCCACAAGCGCCCAAUUCACUGUAAUUGGCCGCCAAAUAAAUGGAUUUUGUGUCAUUUGCAGCGAAGUCCCUCAAUAAUUGCAUCUCAAAUCCUCCACUUUUUGACUUGUAUGCCUUGGCCUCCAACUUCCAUCAAUGGCCAAUUUAAUCCCCGUGUUUUGAAUUUUGUUACUUUUCGCCAAUUUUUGCUUCUUUCCUUUCCUUCUUCGUCCAAGCACAAAUUUUACCUAAGAAAAUUAAUACAAUAAAAUUUAGAUUAUAUUUUGCCAAAAGAACAAUAAAAUUAUAUAGUUUAGAGUCCCGAAUAAGUGUAGAAAAUACACUUAUCAG
rnacentral:lncRNA from 1 species